GAUGAACGCUGGCGGCGUGCCUAAUACAUGCAAGUCGAGCGAACGGACGAGAAGCUUGCUUUUCUGAUGUUAGCGGCGGACGGGUGAGUAACACGUGGAUAACCUACCUAUAAGACUGGGAUAACUUCGGGAAACCGGAGCUAAUACCGGAUAAUAUUUUGAACCGCAUGGUUCAAAAGUGAAAGACGGUCUUGCUGUCACUUAUAGAUGGAUCCGCGCUGCAUUAGCUAGUUGGUAAGGUAACGGCUUACCAAGGCAACGAUGCAUAGCCGACCUGAGAGGGUGAUCGGCCACACUGGAACUGAGACACGGUCCAGACUCCUACGGGAGGCAGCAGUAGGGAAUCUUCCGCAAUGGGCGAAAGCCUGACGGAGCAACGCCGCGUGAGUGAUGAAGGUCUUCGGAUCGUAAAACUCUGUUAUUAGGGAAGAACAUAUGUGUAAGUAACUGUGCACAUCUUGACGGUACCUAAUCAGAAAGCCACGGCUAACUACGUGCCAGCAGCCGCGGUAAUACGUAGGUGGCAAGCGUUAUCCGGAAUUAUUGGGCGUAAAGCGCGCGUAGGCGGUUUUUUAAGUCUGAUGUGAAAGCCCACGGCUCAACCGUGGAGGGUCAUUGGAAGCUGGAAAACUUGAGUGCAGAAGAGGAAAGUGGAAUUCCAUGUGUAGCGGUGAAAUGCGCAGAGAUAUGGAGGAACACCAGUGGCGAAGGCGACUUUCUGGUCUGUAACUGACGCUGAUGUGCGAAAGCGUGGGGAUCAAACAGGAUUAGAUACCCUGGUAGUCCACGCCGUAAACGAUGAGUGCUAAGUGUUAGGGGGUUUCCGCCCCUUAGUGCUGCAGCUAACGCAUUAAGCACUCCGCCUGGGGAGUACGACCGCAAGGUUGAAACUCAAAGGAAUUGACGGGGACCCGCACAAGCGGUGGAGCAUGUGGUUUAAUUCGAAGCAACGCGAAGAACCUUACCAAAUCUUGACAUCCUUUGACAACUCUAGAGAUAGAGCUUUCCCCUUCGGGGGACAAAGUGACAGGUGGUGCAUGGUUGUCGUCAGCUCGUGUCGUGAGAUGUUGGGUUAAGUCCCGCAACGAGCGCAACCCUUAAGCUUAGUUGCCAUCAUUAAGUUGGGCACUCUAAGUUGACUGCCGGUGACAAACCGGAGGAAGGUGGGGAUGACGUCAAAUCAUCAUGCCCCUUAUGAUUUGGGCUACACACGUGCUACAAUGGACAAUACAAAGGGCAGCGAAACCGCGAGGUCAAGCAAAUCCCAUAAAGUUGUUCUCAGUUCGGAUUGUAGUCUGCAACUCGACUACAUGAAGCUGGAAUCGCUAGUAAUCGUAGAUCAGCAUGCUACGGUGAAUACGUUCCCGGGUCU
rnacentral:rRNA from 1 species